UACGUAGGGGGCUAGCGUUGUCCGGAAUCAUUGGGCGUAAAGAGCGUGUAGGCGGCCCGGUAAGUCCGCUGUAAAAGUCAAAGGCUCAACCUUUGAAUGUCAGUGGAUACUGCCGGGCUAGAGUCCGGAAGAGGCGAGUGGAACUCCUGGUGUAGCGGUGGAAUGCGCAGAUAUCAGGAAGAACACCAACGGCGAAGGCAGCUCGCUAGGAAGGAACUGACGCUGAGGCGCGAAAGCGUGGGGAGCAAACAGG
rnacentral:rRNA from 1 species